CCACUUCACCUGGAUAUAGCCCGACUUCUCCCGGUUAUAGUCCCACUUCACCAACCUACAGCCCCAGUUCUCCUGGCUAUAGCCCAACAAGCCCUGCUUAUUCUCCUACAAGUCCUUCCUAUUCUCCCACCUCUCCUAGCUACAGCCCAACAUCUCCAAGCUAUAGCCCAACGUCCCCGAGCUACAGCCCGACAUCACCGAGCUACAGCCCCACUUCUCCGAGUUACAGCCCGACAUCGCCUGCUUAUAGCCCGACCUCGCCCGCGUAUAGCCCGACUUCACCUGCAUACAGCCCGACCUCUCCUUCUUACAGCCCAACAUCACCAUCUUACAGCCCAACAUCACCUUCUUACAGUCCUACUUCACCCUCCUACAGUCCCACUUCACCUUCUUACAGUCCUACUUCACCCGCAUACAGCCCUACGUCUCCUGGCUACAGCCCAACUUCACCAAGCUACAGCCCAACAUCACCUAGUUACGGUCCUACGUCUCCAAGCUACAACCCUCAGUCUGCUAAAUACAGCCCAUCUCUGGCUUACUCUCCUAGCAAUGCAAGACUAUCGCCAGCUAGCCCCUACAGUCCUACAUCUCCA
rnacentral:lncRNA from 1 species